rnacentral:rRNA from 1 species
CCUACGGGUGGCAGCAGUGAGGAAUAUUGGUCAAUGGACGAGAGUCUGAACCAGCCAAGUAGCGUGAAGGAUGACUGCCCUAUGGGUUGUAAACUUCUUUUAUAAAGGAGUAAAACGAGGCACGUGUGCCUCUUUGCGUGUACUUUAAGAAAAAGGAUCGGCUAAAUCCGUGCCAGCAGCCGCGGUAAUACGGAAGGUCCGGGCGUUAUCCGGAUUUAUUGGGUUUAAAGGGAGCGUAGGCCGGUCUUUAAGCGUGCCGUGAAAUUUUGGGGCUCAACCAGGGGCGUGCGGCGGGAACUGGAGACCUUGAGUGCGCGGGAGGCAGGCGGAAUUCGUGGUGUAGCGGUGAAAUGCUUAGAUAUCACGAAGAACCCCGAUUGCGAAGGCAGCCUGCCGGAGCGUUACUGACGCUGAGGCUCGAAAGCGUGGGUAUCGAACAGGAUUAGAUACCCCUGUAGUC